rnacentral:rRNA from 1 species
UACGUAGGGUGCGAGCGUUACUCGGAAUUACUGGGCGUAAAGCGUGCGCAGGCGGUUUUGCAAGCCGGAUGGGAAAUCCCCGGGCUCAACCUGGGAAUGGCAUUUGGGACUGCAAGGCUCGAGUGCGGCAGAGGAGACUGGAAUUCCUGGUGUAGCAGUGAAAUGCGUAGAUAUCAGGAGGAACACCAAUAGCGAAGGCAGCUCGCUGGGACGUUACUGACACUGAGGCGCGAAAGCGUGGGGAGCGAACAGG